GCCCGGAUGGUCUAGUGGUAUGAUUCCUGCUGUAAGUUACCAUAUUACUAUUACACUUUCAAAACAACAACUAACAACAACACCAGUUGGGAUCCCAAAUCUUAAAUGCAGGAGGCCCCGCGUUCGAAUCGCGGUUCGGGCC
rnacentral:tRNA from 1 species